CUCAGGAUGAACGCUAGCUACAGGCUUAACACAUGCAAGUCGAGGGGAACGAUAUGGAAGCUUGCUUCUGAUAGGCGUCGACCGGCGCACGGGUGAGUAACCGCGUAUCCAACCUGCCCACCACUUGGGGAUAACCUUGCGAAAGUAAGACUAAUACCCAAUGACGUCUCUAGAAGACAUCUGAAAGGGAUUAAAGAUUUAUCGGUGAUGGAUGGGGAUGCGUCUGAUUAGCUUGUUGGCGGGGUAACGGCCCACCAAGGCGACGAUCAGUAGGGGUUCUGAGAGGAAGGUCCCCCACAUUGGAACUGAGACACGGUCCAAACUCCUACGGGAGGCAGCAGUGAGGAAUAUUGGUCAAUGGACGAGAGUCUGAACCAGCCAAGUAGCGUGCAGGAUGACGGCCCUAUGGGUUGUAAGCUGCUUUUAUAAGGGAAUAAAGUGAGUCUCGUGAGACUUUUUGCAUGUACCUUAUGAAUAAGGACCGGCUAAUUCCGUG
rnacentral:rRNA from 1 species